rnacentral:misc_RNA from 1 species
AGAUCUCUGAGAAGACCGAGGAGGAAGAAGAAGACGAAGAAGGAGAAGAAGAAAGAAGACGAUAAAGAUGAUGUCCGGUGGCAACUAUACGACUAUAGAUAACCAAAAUGUUUCAGGAUCUGUGCCCGCCGUUCCAGAUCAGGGACAAAUAACCGUUAAAUUCACUGACUCAAAUCUUCAAACAUUUCCUCCUUCUGGAACUCAAGGAAAGAUCUCUGGUGGUUCCCAGCCUCCUCGUGAUGCUGAUGAUACA